rnacentral:rRNA from 1 species
AGAGUUUGAUCCUGGCUCAGAACGAACGCUGGCGGCAGGCUUAACACAUGCAAGUCGAACGCUCCGCAAGGAGAGUGGCAGACGGGUGAGUAACGCGUGGGAACAUACCCCUCGGUUCGGAAUAACUCAGGGAAACUUGAGCUAAUACCGAAUACGGUCGAGAGGCGAAAGAUUUAUCGCCGAGGGAUUGGCCCGCCGUCCGAUUAGCUAGUUGGUGAGGUAAUGGCUCACCAAGGCGACGAUCGGUAGCUGGUCUGAGAGGAUGAUCAGCCACAUUGGGACUGAGACACGGCCCAAACUCCUACGGGAGGCAGCAGUGGGGAAUAUUGGACAAUGGGCGAAAGCCUGAUCCAGCCAUGCCGCGUGAGUGAUGACGGCCUUAGGGUUGUAAAGCUCUUUCGUCAGGGACGAUAAUGACGGUACCUGAAGAAGAAGCCCCG